rnacentral:rRNA from 1 species
AUGAACGCUGGCGGCGUGGAUAAGGCAUGCAAGUCGAGUGGGUUUAGACCCACGGCAAACGAGGUAGUAACACGUAGGAACAUCCCCUCAAGUCGGGCAUAACUAGCCGAAAGGUUAGAUAAUUCCCGAUAGUCUCGCGAGAGUAAAGAUUUAUCGCUUGAGGAGUGGCCUGCGCAGUAUCAGCUAGUUGGUAGGGUAAUAGCCUACCAAGGCAAUGACGCUUAGGGGAGGUGAGAGCCUGACCCCCACCGAUGGAACUGAGACACGGUCCAUACACCUACGGGUGGCCGCAGUCGAGAAUCUUCCACAAUGGACGAAAGUCUGAUGGAGCGACGCCGCGUGGUGGAUGAAGCCCUUCGGGGCGUAAACACCUUUUAUGAGGGAGGAAGUUAUUGACGUUACCUCAUGAAUAAGGACCUGCUAAACUCGU